rnacentral:rRNA from 1 species
GAUGAACGCUGGCGGCGUGCCUAAUACAUGCAAGUCGAGCGAACGGACGAGAAGCUUGCUUCUCUGAUGUUAGCGGCGGACGGGUGAGUAACACGUGGAUAACCUACCUAUAAGACUGGGAUAACUUCGGGAAACCGGAGCUAAUACCGGAUGAUAUUUUGAACCGCAUGGUUCAAAAGUGAAAGACGGUCUUGCUGUCACUUAUAGAUGGAUCCGCGCUGCAUUAGCUAGUUGGUAAGGUAACGGCUUACCAAGGCAACGAUGCAUAGCCGACCUGAGAGGGUGAGCGGCCACCAGGGGACUGAGACCCGGAGCGGGCGCCAACGGGAGGCAGCAGCGGGGAAUCUUCGGCGAUGGGCGUAGGCCUGACAAAGUAACUUAGCGUGGGUGAUGAGGGUCUUCAGAUCGUAAAACUCUGUUAUUAGUGAAGAACAUAGGUGUAAGUAACUGCGCCCAUCUUGCGGGUGCCUAAUCAGAAGGCCGCGCCUACCUCCGUG